UACGUAGGGGGCAAGCGUUGUCCGGAUUCAUUGGGCGUAAAGAGCGUGUAGGCGGCCAGGUAGGUCGGUUGUGAAAACUGGAGGCUCAACCUUCAGAGGUCGACCGAAACCAUCUGGCUAGAGUCCGGGAGAGGAGAGUGGAAUUCCUGGUGUAGCGGUGAAAUGCGUAGAUAUCUGGAGGAACACCGGUGGCGAAGGCGGCAUCCUGGACCGGCAUUGACGCUGAGGCGCGAAAGCCAGGGGAGCAAAGCGGG
rnacentral:rRNA from 1 species